rnacentral:rRNA from 1 species
CCCGGUGAUCUCAGCGCAGGGGCCACACCCGUCUCCAUUCCGAACACGGCCGUUAAGCCCUGCAGCGUCGAUGGUACUGCACAUGUCUUGUGUGGGAGAGUAGAACGUCGCCGGGU